GAUGAACGCUGGCGGCGUGCCUAAUACAUGCACGUCGAGCGAACAGACGAGGAGCUUGCUCCUCUGACGUUAGCGGCGGACGGGUGAGUAACACGUGGAUAACCUACCUAUAAGACUGGGAUAACUUCGGGAAACCGGAGCUAAUACCGGAUAAUAUAUUGAACCGCAUGGUUCAAUAGUGAAAGACGGUUUUGCUGUCACUUAUAGAUGGAUCCGCGCCGCAUUAGCUAGUUGGUAAGGUAACGGCUUACCAAGGCGACGAUGCGUAGCCGACCUGAGAGGGUGAUCGGCCACACUGGAACUGAGACACGGUCCAGACUCCUACGGGAGGCAGCAGUAGGGAAUCUUCCGCAAUGGGCGAAAGCCUGACGGAGCAACGCCGCGUGAGUGAUGAAGGUCUUCGGAUCGUAAAACUCUGUUAUUAGGGAAGAACAAAUGUGUAAGUAACUAUGCACGUCUUGACGGUACCUAAUCAGAAAGCCACGGCUAACUACGU
rnacentral:rRNA from 1 species